rnacentral:misc_RNA from 1 species
GUGAAAAUACAAGCACACAAUAUAUCAAACACCACAUUCAUUUCUCAUUCACUUAUCUAUGGAAGUUUAUUCUUCUAGCUCUUCUUCUUCUUCUUCCUCUUCCUCACCACUGCACUUUUCGCAAUACCCACAUGGAGGAAAGGGCCAAAAAGUGUCGCAGUUGCUCCAUUCGGUUCGUAAGCCCCAGCUGAAGCCAUGGAAGAAACCAAUUGCACCAUUGCCACCAACCCCACCAAGAGUGUACAAGGUCGACCCUAUAAACUUCAGGGAUCUUGUUCAGAAGCUCACCGGUGCGCCUGAUCCCUCGCAGUCUCAGCAGAGGCUCCAACGUAUGGCCCCUCCUCCGCUUGAUUUGGAGAAAGAAAAACCCGCAUUGUUUAGCAAAGAUUUUGCAGCACCUUUGCAGCUCCUUCCUUCCCCAGUCAAAGCUCCAUUUUCUGCUUUAUAUCAGGAGUUGAUGUCUGACACACCUGCUGAUCCAAAACCCAGGAAGGUUUCCGAAAGUGUAAUGGCAUCGACUUCGCUCGAGUUGAACCUGCUGUCCCCAUCUACCCAUGGUUGGUGUUCUUUUCCUCUUCUGAGUCCUGGAACACUUUCCAGCUUGGAGCAAAGCACAGUCCUUUAAAAUUUAGUUGAAAGCAGCUUUAUUUCUUGCUUCUUUAAGCUUCAAAGAGAUGCAGAAAAGAUCAAACUUCUCUUCUUUUUUAAAUCGUAAGUACGUAUUAAACCAGCUAUUGGCCAUUCACCAGAACCAUCAGCCACAACAGCCG